rnacentral:rRNA from 1 species
UAUACCGUGAAACUGCGAAUGGCUCAUUAAAUCAGUUAUCGUUUAUUUGAUAGUACCUUACUACUUGGAUAACCGUGGUAAUUCUAGAGCUAAUACAUGCUAAAAACCUCGACUUCGGAAGAGGUGUAUUUAUUAGAUAAAAAACCAAUGCCCUUCGGGGCUCUUUGGUGAUUCAUGAUAACUUCUCAGAUCGCAUGGCCUUGCGCCGGCGACGGUUCAUUCAAAUUUCUGCCCUAUCAACUUUCGAUGGUAAGGUAUUGGCUUACCAUGGUUUCAACGGGUAACGGGGAAUUAGGGUUCGAUUCCGGAGAGGGAGCCUGAGAAACGGCUACCACAUCCAAGGAAGGCAGCAGGCGCGCAAAUUACCCAAUCCCGACACGGGGAGGUAGUGACAAUAAAUACUGAUACAGGGCUCUUUUGGGUCUUGUAAUUGGAAUGAGUACAAUUUAAACCUCUUAACGAGGAACAAUUGGAGGGCAAGUCUGGUGCCAGCAGCCGCGGUAAUUCCAGCUCCAAUAGCGUAUAUUAAAGUUGUUGCAGUUAAAAAGCUCGUAGUUGAACCUUGGGCCUGGCUGGCAGGUCCGCCUCACCGCGUGUACUUGACCGGCCGGGCCUUUCCUUCUGGAGAACCUCAUGCCCUUCACUGGGUGUGCUGGGGAACCAGGACUUUUACUUUGAAAAAAUUAGAGUGUUCAAAGCAGGCCUUUGCUCGAAUACGUUAGCAUGGAAUAAUAGAAUAGGACGUGCGGUCCUAUUUUGUUGGUUUCUAGGACCGCCGUAAUGAUUAAUAGGGACAGUCGGGGGCAUCAGUAUUCAAUUGUCAGAGGUGAAAUUCUUGGAUUUAUUGAAGACUAACUACUGCGAAAGCAUUUGCCAAGGAUGUUUUCAUUAAUCAGUGAACGAAAGUUAGGGGAUCGAAGACGAUCAGAUACCGUCGUAGUCUUAACCGUAAACUAUGCCGACUAGGGAUCGGGCGAUGUUUCUAUCUUGACUCGCUCGGCACCUUACGAGAAAUCAAAGUU